CUACAUUUCAGUUCACUGCAAAUCUUACUUUCAGUGGACAGCUACACUGAAGAUACAGAACGGAGCUGGAGGUUUCUGGCAAGCUCAUGGGAACAGACGGCAGUUCUGACACCUGGACUUAACAUUUCUGCAAGAUGAAUGGUGUCACCUCACUCUUCUUGGAAGCGCUAAAAGCCACGUUUUCUUACCUAUGUGGGGACUGGAGUUUGGAUACUGCCAACCAUGAUGAGAAGUCAGGGUUCUUGCAGAACGAGCGCAGCUCCUCCAGAGCUCUGACAGUUUCUGUUUCACC